CGCGUAGGCGGUUCGUUAAGUUGCUGGUGAAAUCCCGGGGCUCAACUCCGGGGCUGCCGGCAAGACUGGCGGGCUAGAGCACGGUAGAGGCAGAUGGAAUUCCCGGUGUAGCGGUGGAAUGCGUAGAUAUCGGGAAGAAUACCGGUGGCGAAGGCGUUCUGCUGGGCCGUUGCUGACGCUGAGGCGCGACAGCGUGGGGAGCAAACA
rnacentral:rRNA from 1 species